AAUACAUGGCGUACUGCUCAGUAACACGUGGACAACCUACCCUCCGGACGGGUAUAAACCCGGGAAACUGGGUAUAAUCCCCGAUAGAUCUCGGUCGCUGGAAAGCCCCGAGAUCGAAAGCUCCGGCGCCAGAGGAUGGGUCUGCGGCCUAUCAGGUAGUAGUGGGUGUAGCGUACCUACUAGCCUACGACGGGUACGGGUUGUGAGAGCAAGAGCCCGGAGAUGGAUUCUGAGACACGAAUCCAGGCCCUACGGGGUGCAGCAGGCGCGAAAACUUUACAAUGCCGGCAACGGCGAUAAGGGGACCUCGAGUGCCAGGUUACAAAUCUGGCUGUCGUGAUGCCUAAAAAGCAUUGCAUAGCAAGGGCCAGGCAAGACCGGUGCCAGCCGCCGCGGUAACACCGGCGGCUCGAGUGGUAACCGUUAUUAUUGGGUCUAAAGGGUCUGUAGCCGGCCGGAUAAGUCUCUUGAGAAAUCCAGCAGCUCAACUGUUGGGCUUUCAGGAGAUACUGUUCGGCUCGAGGCCGGGAGAGGUGAGAGGUACUUCAGGGGUAGGGGUGAAAUCUUGUAAUCCUUGAAGGACCACCAGUGGCGAAGGCGUCUCACCAGAACGGACCUGACGGCAAGGGACGAAAGCUAGGGGCACGAACCGGAUUAGAUACCCGGGUAGUCCUAGCCGUAAACGAUACUCGCUAGGUGUCGGCCACGGUGCGACCGUUGUCGGUGCCGUAGGGAAGCCGUGAAGCGAGCCACCUGGGAAGUACGGCCGCAAGGCUGAAACUUAAAGGAAUUGGCGGGGGAGCACCACAACGGGUGGAGCUUGCGGUUUAAUUGGAUUCAACGCCGGAAAUCUUACCGGGACCGACAGCAAUAUGAAGGCCAGGCUGAAGACUU
rnacentral:rRNA from 1 species